rnacentral:tmRNA from 1 species
GUACUGGUUUCGACAGGGGUUUGGAAUCUGGUGAAGCUAUCCGCAGGUGAUGCGUUAACUCACACAAUUAAAUUAAACGCUGAUAAUAAAUUAGCAUACGCUGCCUAAUUAUGGCAGCUGUCAGUCUUAGGACUCCUACACCCUGAGUUCUGGCAUCGACUUUUUGUAGGGCACCCUGGUUGCAAAGCUUUGCGCAGUCAGGAGAUUUAUGAAGCUACUAAGGGAUAAAGGAUGUUUGUUUCCGUUAUCCUAAGGGAAUGUUAAAUAACAAACUAUGAUAGUAGAAGAACGGUGGAAGGACUUUUGGACAUGGGUUCGAUUCCCAUCUAGUCCACU